rnacentral:rRNA from 1 species
ACUUGUGGCUAGCGGAGAAAUUCCAAUCGAACUCGGAUAUAGCUGGUUCUCUCCGAAAUAGCUUUAGGGCUAGCCUCGAUGUUAAGUCUACUGGAGGUAGAGCACUGAAUGGGUGAUGGCCCCACCUCGGGGUACUGAUCUCAAUCAAACUCCGAAUGCCAGAUAGAUAUAAUCGGGAGUCAGACUGUGGGUGAUAAGGUCCAUGGUCAAAAGGGAAAGAGCCCAGACCGCCAGCUAAGGCCCCCAAGUGUCCGUUAAGUGGAAAAGGAUGUGGAGAUGCACAGACAACUAGGAGGUUGGCUUAGAAGCAGCCAUCCUUUAAAGAGUGCGUAAUAGCUCACUAGUCGAGUGACUCUGCGCCGAAAAUGUACCGGGGCUAAACGGACCGCCGAAGCUGCGGAUUGACUUUAGAGUCAGUGGUAGGAGAGCGUUCUAACAGCGGUGAAGCAGUACCGGAAGGAGCUGUGGAGCGGUUAGAAGUGAGAAUGCCGGUGUGAGUAGCGAAAGAUAGGUGAGAAUCCUAUCCAUCGAAAGCCUAAGGUUUCCAGGGGAAGGCUCGUCCGCCCUGGGUAAGUCGGGACCUAAGGUGAGGCCGAAAGGCGUAGCCGAUGGACAACAGGUUGAUAUUCCUGUACCACUUAUUAAACUGAUGGAGUGACGGAGAAGGCUAAGUUGAGCGUGUGAUUGGAUUCACGUGUAAGCAGUGAGGUGGUCAUGUAGGCAAAUCCGCAUGGCAUAACAUUGAGCUGUGAUGCCGAAGCCGAAUGGCGAAGUCAACUGACGUCACGCUUCCAAGAAAAGCUUCUAGGGUUAAUUUAAUAAGUGCCCGUACCGAUAACCGACACAGGUAGGCGAGGAGAGAAUCCUAAGAUGAGCGAGAGAACUCUUGUUAAGGAACUCGGCAAAAUGACCCCGUAACUUCGGGAGAAGGGGUGCUUGUGAAAGCAAGCCGCAGUGAAUAGGCCCAGGCGACUGUUUAUCAAAAACACAGGUCUCUGCUAAACCGCAAGGUGAUGUAUAGGGGCUGACGCCUGCCCGGUGCUGGAAGGUUAAGAGGAGAGGUUAGCGCAAGCGAAGCUUUGAAUUGAAGCCCCAGUAAACGGCGGCCGUAACUAUAACGGUCCUAAGGUAGCGAAAUUCCUUGUCGGGUAAGUUC